AUGACAGCAGCAGAGUGAACAAUGGUGCAGCAGUGACACACCGUGAACUGUGAGCCAGUUGUGGGGGCAGCUGGGAAGGCAUUGCUCGACAUUCCUUCCCCCUCCGGAUGGGAGGUGAACUCACCCGAACGCAUCUCUGAAUGCUGGGUCUCCGCUCCCCAAGGACAGCAGCUGGGAGUGGGAGGCACUGGAGGGAGAGGGGAGUGGCGUGUUAAAGCGGUAGCGAGGAAUGAGGCUGGCAACGUUACAGACCAAACCAGCAUGCAAAGAGUCUCUUCAGCACCUGGGAACCAACACAUUUAAAUGAGAUGAAUAAAACCAGCAGACGGUCAGUUCAGUGCAGCUAGAAUUCACCUCUGGACUGCCACCUCCAUAACAGACUCUUCACUGGAUUGUGCCUGCUCUAGGCGAAUGACUCCGCAGUCCACAAAGUUCUGUGCCGUCAAACAUGCGCACGGGUCACUGAAA